rnacentral:lncRNA from 1 species
CAAGAACCAACUUUCUUGUUCAAAAUCUAUUUCAAAAUUUUUUUUUAGGGAGUGUAAGGAGGAGCAAAAGAUGAGAAGGAAAGAUCUACUUCCUGUUGCCACCCUCGUAUUCUUUCGGAUAUUAAACUGCAGUAUAUAAAGCUUUUUAUUUCCAAAGUGGUAAGCAUUUAUAUCACAAUUAAUGACGUUGUAGAAAAACCAUGAAUACUUUCAAAUUGUACAGUGCUAUGAUAAGCAUAUUUCUGCUUCUAUCAAGCGAAAUAUGGAUAAGUGUUAAGGCAAGGCACCAUGGUCAAGGAGGUGGCGGCAACUCAGGUAUAGAAAUGCUUCUAGCUGCUGGAAUUCUCGCCAAGUUGUUGAACAGGCAUCAUGGGCACCAUCAGAGUCAUCCGAUACCUAUCCCGAUUCCAAUUCACCAUCACGGUGGACAUCAUCAUGAAAUUCACCAUGGCCACCAUGAUCAUCAUGGUCACCACAGUACUCAAUAUUAUAAUUAUGCUCCAGCAUAUGAUCCACAAUAUUAUGCAGCUUCAUCAUAUUUACCAGUUUAUUAUUAACUCAUAGUUAAUUUUUGUUCUGUUAUGUUAACUUGAUGUAUUAUUGUUAUGAUUUAAUUUUAAGAAAACAGCAGAUUCAUCUGCAAAAUCUCUGAUAAUUAUAAAUUAAUGAGAAGCUGAGAUGAUAACAGAAUUGGGUACUUGCAAGCGGCGUCACGCGUGGAUCAGCCAUUCAGGUUUGACACGCACGCGUGAUGUCUCAGGUAUUAAAUGAAAUAUGAUUCGAAUAUUGAUUCAGAGGGAUAAUAAACCCAAAUUUUAAAGCUGUAAUGUUAAAACAUCAUGCACAGCCACGUGAUUAGAUGAGAGUAUCCAAUUGUUAAGCUAAUAUGAAAAUAAUUUUAGUUAACGAAUUAAUUAUAAGGUUAUUGUUUGUUCACACAUAAAUAGCUUCUGUAUUAGCUUGAACUUAUACACUAAGGAAGCAAAAGUCAUUGAAUACAUUUUAAUACCUUGUUGGAACUCCGCUAACUCUACGAAAUGAAAUAACACGAAAUGGUAUUGACACAACAAGUAGUUGAAAGCCUCUUGCAGGAAUAUUCAGUCACGCAACCUCAAUAGAUGUCCAUAAUUGCGAAGGUGCUGCUGGUGCAGGAUUUUGAGCAUGGACUGGUUCUCUGGAAUUGUUCAGAAUGAUCUUCAAAUCAAUCUCGAACAAUUAAGACCCGGUGACAUAGCGCAUUGUUCUACAUAAAAAUUCCAUCGUUAUUUGGGUACAUGAAAUCUAUGAAUGGCUGCAAGUGGUCUCAGAUUAGCUGAAUAUAACCAUUUCCAGUCAAUGAUUGGUGCAAUUAAACCAUAGGACCUAGUCCAUGCAAUGAGAAAGCAGUCCACCCUCAGAUUAUGGAGCCACCAUCUGAUUCCACAGUAAACCGUUGACAACUUAGGUACAUUGCUGGGCUCUGUGAACUCUCUCGAAUUCUCGAACACUUCUAUUACCAUUUCCGGCCCCACAUAGAUGCUUGCGGUUAUUUCACGCAAUGUCUGUUAACACUGACAAGUUUGUGCACACAUUGGUGGCCUGGGUCCUUAAUUGGCCGGCUACUAUGUUUUUAAUAGUUACCAUGUGGUUAUCUCUGAAAUUAGGUAUUUUCGGCACAUUCUUGACAUUGUAGAUCUAGGCAUGUUGAAUUCCCUUACAAUUUCCAAAGAGGAAUGUUCUAUCUAUCUAGCUCUUAUUACCAUUCCUGUUAAUUCUCGUCUUGCUCUUAUAAUUGCAUCAGAAACUUUCUCAGAUGAUUCACUUGACCACAAAUUAAAGUUCUCUCAGUGCCCUCCUGCCUAUAAAGAGUUUACACGUGAUACUGCUGUCAGUUGUAUAUGUGCACAUAGUUAUCUCUUGACUUUUGUUACCUCAGUGCAUAAAAUGAUUCAAUGUUUUUAGAUAAACCUAUAAAGUAUUAUAAGAAUUCAUAUAAAUAUACAUUUCUAACUGAAAAAAAAAGCUGAACUGAUAGCUGAGAAAAAAAUAUUGUUUCGCAUUUAAAAUUAACUAGUCGUUAUUUCCUGAACUUUAAGCUUUAUGAUGAUUUAAUUAUCAAUCGAAACAAUAUGAUAUAAAAAUUUUAAUAAGGUAUAUUUCAAGAUACAUAUACAUGUGUAUACAUUUAUUUUAUCAUUUUACUUCAUUACUAGCAUUGAGCAGCCAUUACAUUAUGGCUCUAAUGUUCAGUGUGUAGACGUUGUAAAAAUUGUACAUAAUAAUGAUUAGAUUAUUUUAUCAUUUUUGUAAUAAAGAUUUUAAAAAUA